AAGAAAUNANCNCGAGGGNCGAAUGGAAGGAGAGAGGGUUGUAGCUGGCGUAAGCACGUGCACGCCCUNUUUCUCGACCUAGGUCCUUAUGGGCGCGGGGCGACCCGCGUCUUCAUAAGCCCCUUCGUGUAGAAAGUCNAUGAAUGUUUUUUACCAUCAUCGACUCGCGACUUCUAGGAGACGCGAUUCUUUGAGACAAAAGUUAUUACAACUUUCAGCAAUGGAUCUCUUGGCUCUCGCAUCGAUGAAGAACGCAGCGAAUCGCGAUAUGUAAUGUGAAUUGCAGAUCUACAGUGAAUCAUCGAAUCUUUGAACGCACCUUGCGCUUAUCGGUGUUCCGAUGAGCAUGCCUGUUUGAGCGUCAUUAAAUUCUCAACCCCUCUCGAUUUGCUUCGAGAGGGUGCUUGGAUAGUGGAGGCUGCCGGAGACCUGUUUUUUCAGGACUCGGGCUCCUCUGAAAUGUAUUGGCUUGCGGUCGACUUUCGACUGUGCAUGACAAGGCCUUUGGCGUGAUAAUGAUCGCCGCUCGCCGAAGUGCACGAACGAAUGGUCUCGUGCCCCUAAUCAGUCGAUGUCUUUUCGAAGGCGUCUUCCUUAUUGACGUUUGACCUCAAAUCAGGNAGGACUACCCGCUGAACUUAAGCAUAUCAAUAAGCGGAGGAAAAGAAACUAAC
rnacentral:rRNA from 1 species